UACAGAGGGGGCAAGCGUUGUUCGGAAUUACUGGGCGUAAAGGGCGCGUAGGCGGCCUGUUAAGUCGGACGUGAAAUCCCUCGGCUCAACCGGGGAACUGCGUCCGAUACUGGCGGGCUUGAAUUCGGGAGAGGGAUGUGUAAUUCCAGGUGUAGCGGUGAAAUGCGUAGAUAUCUGGAGGAACACCGGUGGCGAAGGCGGCAUCCUGGACCGACAUUGACGCUGAGGCGCGAAAGCCAGGGGAGCAAACGGG
rnacentral:rRNA from 1 species